rnacentral:rRNA from 1 species
AUUGAACGCUGGCGGCAUGCUUUACACAUGCAAGUCGGACGGUAACAGGGUGCUUGCACCGCUGACGAGUGGCGAACGGGUGAGUAAUGCGUCGGAACGUGCCGAGUAGUGGGGGAUAACGCAGCGAAAGUUGUGCUAGUACCGCAUACGUACUGAGGUAGAAAGUGGGGGACCUUCGGGCCUCACGCUAUUCGAGCGGCCGACGUCUGAUUAGCUAGUUGGUGAGGUAAAGGCUCACCAAGGCGACGAUCAGUAGCGGGUCUGAGAGGAUGAUCCGCCACACUGGGACUGAGACACGGCCCAGACUCCUACGGGAGGCAGCAGUGGGGAAUUUUGGACAAUGGGCGCAAGCCUGAUCCAGCCAUGCCGCGUGUCUGAAGAAGGCCUUCGGGUUGUAAAGGACUUUUGUCCGGGAGCAAAUGCCUGGUGUUAAUAGCAUCGGGAGCUGAGAGUACCGGAAGAAUAAGCACCGGCUAACUACGUGCCAGCCGCCGCAGUAAGAC